rnacentral:rRNA from 1 species
GUAGUCAUAUGCUUGUCCCAAAGAUUAAGCCAUGCAUGUCUAAGUAUAAGCAAUCUAUACGGUGAAACUGCGAAUGGCUCAUUAAAUCAGUUAUCGUUUAUUUGAUAGUACCCUACUACUUGGAUAACCGUGGUAAUUCUAGAGCUAAUACAUGCUAAAAACCCCGACUUUCGAAGGGGUGUAUUUAUUAGAUAAAAAGCCAAUGCCCUUCGGGGCUCCUUGGUGAUUCAUAAUAACUUAACGAAUCGCAUGGCCUUGCGCCGGCGAUGGUUCAUUCAAAUUUCUGCCCUAUCAACUUUCGAUGGUAGGAUAGUGGCCUACCAUGGUUUCAACGGGUAACGGGGAAUG